rnacentral:rRNA from 1 species
AUUGAACGCUGGCGGCAUGCCUUACACAUGCAAGUCGAACGGCAGCACGGACUUCGGUCUGGUGGCGAGUGGCGAACGGGUGAGUAAUAUAUCGGAACAUACCUUGUAGUGGGGGAUAACUAUCCGAAAGGAUAGCUAAUACCGCAUACGCUCUAAGGAGGAAAGUGGGGGAUCGCAAGACCUCAUGCUAUAAUAGUGGCCGAUAUCUGAUUAGCUAGUUGGUGAGGUAAAGGCUCACCAAGGCGACGAUCAGUAGCUGGUCUGAGAGGACGACCAGCCACACUGGAACUGAGACACGGUCCAGACUCCUACGGGAGGCAGCAGUGGGGAAUUUUGGACAAUGGGGGCAACCCUGAUCCAGCAAUGCCGCGUGAGUGAAGAAGGCCUUCGGGUUGUAAAGCUCUUUUGUCAGGGAAGAAACGGUUGUGGCUAAUAUCCAUGGCUAAUGACGGUACCUGAAGAAUAAGCACCGGCUAACUACGUGCCAGCAGCCGCCGUAAUAC